AUGGCGGCGGCGAAGAAGAAGGACGACGGCGAGCCUAGGGCGAUAGCCAGCGGCGAGGGCGGUGCUCACUCCGAGGUCAACAAGUGGCUAGGCAGCGCAAGUUUCCCGACCCAGCGCUCGUCUGGGCCACCAACGCAGGAGGUCCAGAUCUCGCCGGCGUUCCGCGCGGCCAGGGCAGUGGCCAAAUGCAUCCACGCGGAUCCAGAAGGCGGGCGCCAGUGGGCCUCCUCACUUGGUGGCGAUGAGGGUAAGGGGCUGGAGGGCAUUGAGGUUUUGGACAGUGAUGAGAAGGUGGAGGAGAUGCUAGAUUUGUUUGCUGAGAAGAAAGUAUUGAACAUAACAGUGAGAGAGGCUAGUGACCCAAAUCCAGCAGAUGCAAACGUGGACCACACCUUGCUUGAAGAGCAGAUUCCAAUGAGUCAAGUUGGUGAUCCCAUUGUUUAUAGUGUUUCCCCAGAAGGUGUCCUUUUCCCUGUCUCAAAUUCUUCACAACCUCCAGUUGUGCCCGUUGAUCCAUAUUUUAACACACAGCAGAGCUGUAAUUUCAACAAUGGAAAAGAGGCAGUGGAAAUUGAAGGCAUUGAAGCAGAAGAUCAAGAUGAAGAUGAGUUGGACAAAUCCUCUUCAGAUUUUGAGUUUUUCAGGGGUGAUUACAGAGGGAAGAAAAUUUCAUACAAGUCUUGGGCUAGGGGAGAAGAUGAAGGUGGUGAAGGAACAAGUCAGCACUACAGGGAAGAGGAAGAGAUGGCUGAGCAUUAUUUUGGGGCUGCUUCUGAACCCUCAGAGUUUUGGCAGGAGCCAAAUGGUUCUGAAGAAGAUGAUGAAGAAGAAGCUUCAGAUCAUGUGAAAACUGUGGCACAGAAGAUACCUGUGAGGAAACAAGGCCCAACAAGCAGAUCACAUAGUGAGCCAGAUCACAUAAAGUUUGAAGAUUUCAUGCCAGAAGCUGAUGAGUUCUGCUUUCCAGGUGAUGAAGGCAUUUCUGAUGAAGAAGAUGAUGCACCUAGGUUGCCUUGUAGUAGGAAGAGAAAAUUGAAGAAGAAGAAGGAGAGAAUAUGAGAAGCAUUGAGAAACUACCAUGUUAGGACACUUAGGAACUUUGAGUACCAUAGGAAUGAUCCAAGUAGGAUCAUAGCCUGGUGCUCAGAUAGAAAGCAUGGUUGUGAGUUUUAUAUUACUGUUUCUAAGAUUGCCCAUGAGUCAACCUUUAGCAUCAAGAAGAUGAAUCUUGAUCACACCUGUGGAGCAGGUGGAGAGAACACAAAGGUUACCAUGAAGUGGGUUGCAAUGGCUGUUGAGGAUACUGGUCUGCUCAAUGCAAUAGAGGAUGUAUUUCCUGAUUCCCCUCAAAGAUUUUGUUUAAUACACAUAUAUGCCAACUUCCAAUCAGCUGGGUUUAGAGGGGAUGAAUUGAAAAAACAUCAAGACCAGGCUGCAUAUUCUUUCACUAAGCAUGGGCAUGAUCUGGGCAUGGAAGCAUUGAAGAAAGAGAGUGAGGAGGCAUGGAAGUGGUUGUCCAACAUACCAGUCCAUACUUGGGCCAGGCAUAGAAUGGAUACUAUAUGCAAGACAGACCUUGUUGUAAACAAUCUUAGUGAAGUUUUCAACAGGAUGAUUCUGGAUGUUAGGAACAAGCCCAUAAGGACAAUGCUUGAAGGAAUGAGGACAAAACUCAUGAUCAAGUUUCAGAAGAUUAGGGAGAAGACAGAGACAUGUAGGUGGGAUAUCACACCCACUUACUCUGAGAUAUUGGAGGAGGCCAAGAAAUGGGCAAAAUAUUGUGAUGCAUAUAUGGCUGGACCAGGCAUUUGGCAAGUUACAAGUAGUUCAGAAAAGACCUACUGUGUAAACCUAAACAACUACACUUGUGACUACAGGAGGUGGGAUAUGACAGCUGUUCCAUGUAGUCAUGCUAUAGCAACAAUGCAGAAGGUGAAGCUACACCCUGAAGAUUUUGUCCAUGAGUUCUUCAAGAAGCCCCUCUAUUGUGAAACCUACAAGCAUAUUAUAUACCCUAUUCCAGGCCCUGAUUGUUGGCCACACACCAUGGGGGAUGACAUAUCUCCUCCAGUAUUCAAAGAAAAGAAGGGUAAAAAGCAGAUAGCUAGGAGGAAAGGACAUUUUGAGGUGCCUGCCAAGAAGGAUACAUCAAGAAUUGGGACAGUGACUUGUAGCAAUUGCAAUAAGCAAGGUCACAGAUAUACCACAUGUGGUAUUCCACUGAAACCCAAACUGCAGAUGAGAAAGAAUAAUCACCAGGAGAAUAGGUCAGACUACUCUUCAUCUACCAGAGCUACUACAGGUGUGGUUGCACCACCACCACCAUCAGCACCAUCAGCACCAGCCAUAGCUAGGAAGAGGCCUGCAACAGCCACAGCUACUCCAGGACCAGCAAAGAGGAACAAGGCAGCUGCUUAUGCUACUCCAGCACCUGCCAAGAAGACCAAAGCAACCAAGGAGACAAGGGCUCCUAGCACAUCUUCACCAGCCAAGAACACAAGGUCAUCCAUUGCCUCUCCAGCAAAGAACACGAGAGCAUCAACAGCUAGCAGAGGAGGGGGGUACACAUGUUUCAAUGCUCCAAGGCAAGCUGCUCACUCUGAGAUGGAGAUUGGGUCCAAGAGGGUUAGGAAGCCAACUGGAAAGUGGAAGGCAUAUUUCACUGCUAGUGGGACAAGAACUGUGAACUCAUCUGAGUUGCACUUCUCCAAGAUCUUCUCUGCCAGCCUCCUCUUGAACUCCAGCUCCCACUCUAGCUCCCAAGCUGAUGGCAUGGGCACCGCAGGGCGAGCCCUUUGCCUCCUCACAUCCACUGCAUGCACUGCCUCCUCUUCCUCAUCUGUCACCUCCCCAAGCUCUGGAUCCAUCUAG
rnacentral:rRNA from 1 species